rnacentral:rRNA from 1 species
CCUACGGGAGGCAGCAGUGGGGAAUAUUGCGCAAUGGGCGAAAGCCUGACGCAGCGACGCCGCGUGAGGGAUGAAGGUCUUCGGAUCGUAAACCUCUGUUAGCAGGGAAGAACGGUCACUGUGCUAAUCAGCAGUGAAUUGACGGUACCUGCAAAGGAAGCACCGGCUAAAUCCGUGCCAGCAGCCGCGGUAAUACGGAGGGUGCGAGCGUUUAUCGGAAUUAAUGGGCGUAAAGCGCUCGUAGGCGGUAUGUCAAGUCAAGGGUGAAAUCCCCGCGCUCAACGUGGGAACUGCCUUUGAAACGGGCAAACUGGAGUGUGUGAGAGGAUAGUGGAAUUCGAGGUGUAGGAGUGAAAUCCGUAGAUAUCUGGAGGAACAUCAGUGGCGAAGGCGACUAUCUGGCACAUAACUGACGCUGAGGAGCGAAAGCGUGGGUAGCAAACAGGAUUAGAUACCCGUGUAGUC